rnacentral:rRNA from 1 species
CCUACGGGAGGCAGCAGUGGGGAAUAUUGGACAAUGGGGGGAACCCUGAUCCAGCCAUGCCGCGUGUGUGAAGAAGGCCCUCGGGUUGUAAAGCACUUUCAGCGAGGAAGAACGCCUAGCGGUUAAUACCCGCUAGGAAAGACAUCACUCGCAGAAGAAGCACCGGCUAACUCCGUGCCAGCAGCCGCGGUAAUACGGAGGGUGCAAGCGUUAAUCGGAAUUACUGGGCGUAAAGCGCGCGUAGGUGGCUUGAUAAGCCGGUUGUGAAAGCCCCGGGCUCAACCUGGGAACGGCAUCCGGAACUGUCAAGCUAGAGUGCAGGAGAGGAAGGUAGAAUUCCCGGUGUAGCGGUGAAAUGCGUAGAGAUCGGGAGGAAUACCAGUGGCGAAGGCGGCCUUCUGGACUGACACUGACACUGAGGUGCGAAAGCGUGGGUAGCAAACAGGAUUAGAUACCCUGGUAGUCCACGCCGUAAACGAUGUCGACCAGCCGUUGGGUGCCUAGCGCACUUUGUGGCGAAGUUAACGCGAUAAGUCGACCGCCUGGGGAGUACGGCCGCAAGGUUAAAACUCAAAUGAAUUGACGGA